CAGGUUCCCCUAUGAUCACCGAAGUUAAGCAACGUCGAACCUGGUCAGUACCUAGAUGGGUGGCCAUUGGGGAAUACCAAGUGCUGUAAG